rnacentral:rRNA from 1 species
UACGUAGGGGGCAAGCGUUGUUCGGAAUCAUUGGGCGUAAAGAGCGUGUAGGCGGUCCGGUAAGUCGGCUGUGAAAGUCCAGGGCUCAACCCUGGGAUGCCGGUCGAUACUGCCGGACUAGAGUCCGGGAGAGGCAAGUGGAAUUCCCGGUGUAGCGGUGAAAUGCGCAGAUAUCGGGAGGAACACCAGUGGCGAAGGCGGCAUCCUGGACCGACACUGACGCUGAGGAGCGAAAGCCAGGGGAGCAAACGGG